rnacentral:rRNA from 1 species
UACAGAGGGGGCAAGCGUUGUUCGGAAUUACUGGGCGUAAAGGGCGCGUAGGCGGCCUGUUAAGUCGAACGUGAAAUCCCCGGGCUCAACCCGGGAACUGCGUCCGAUACUGGCAGGCUUGAAUUCGGGAGAGGGAUGUGGAAUUCCAGGUGUAGCGGUGAAAUGCGUAGAUAUCAGGAGGAACACCGGUGGCGAAGGCGGGUCUCUGGGCCGAUACUGACGCUGAGGAGCGAAAGCGUGGGGAGCGAACAGG